AUGAACGCUAGCGACAGGCUUAACACAUGCAGGUCGAGGGGCAGCACAGGUAGCAAUACCGGGUGGCGACCGGCGCACGGGUGAGUAACGCGUAUGCAACUUACCUAUCAGAGGGGGAUAACCCGGCGAAAGUCGGACUAAUACCGCAUGAAGCAGGGGCCCCGCAUGGGGAUAUUUGCUAAAGAUUCAUCGCUGAUAGAUAGGCAUGCGUUCCAUUAGGCAGUUGGCGGGGUAACGGCCCACCAAACCGACGAUGGAUAGGGGUUCUGAGAGGAAGGUCCCCCACAUUGGUACUGAGACACGGACCAAACUCCUACGGGAGGCAGCAGUGAGGAAUAUUGGUCAAUGGCCGAGAGGCUGAACCAGCCAAGUCGCGUGAGGGAUGAAGGUUCUAUGGAUCGUAAACCUCUUUUAUAAGGGAAUAAAGUGCGGGACGUGUCCCGUUUUGUAUGUACCUUAUGAAUAAGGAUCGGCUAACUCCGUGCCAGCAGCCGCGGUAAUACGGAGGAUCCGAGCGUUAUCCGGAUUUAUUGGGUUUAAAGGGUGCGUAGGCGGCCUUUUAAGUCAGCGGUGAAAGUCUGUGGCUCAACCAUAGAAUUGCCGUUGAAACUGGGGGGCUUGAGUAUGUUUGAGGCAGGCGGAAUGCGUGGUGUAGCGGUGAAAUGCAUAGAUAUCACGCAGAACCCCGAUUGCGAAGGCAGCCUGCCAAGCCAUGACUGACGCUGAUGCACGAAAGCGUGGGGAUCAAACAGGAUUAGAUACCCUGGUAGUCCACGCAGUAAACGAUGAUCACUAGCUGUUUGCGAUACACUGUAAGCGGCACAGCGAAAGCGUUAAGUGAUCCACCUGGGGAGUACGCCGGCAACGGUGAAACUCAAAGGAAUUGACGGGGGCCCGCACAAGCGGAGGAACAUGUGGUUUAAUUCGAUGAUACGCGAGGAACCUUACCCGGGUUUGAACGCAUUCGGACCGAGGUGGAAACACCUUUUCUAGCAAUAGCCGUUUGCGAGGUGCUGCAUGGUUGUCGUCAGCUCGUGCCGUGAGGUGUCGGCUUAAGUGCCAUAACGAGCGCAACCCUUGCCACUAGUUACUAACAGGUAAAGCUGAGGACUCUGGUGGGACUGCCAGCGUAAGCUGCGAGGAAGGCGGGGAUGACGUCAAAUCAGCACGGCCCUUACAUCCGGGGCGACACACGUGUUACAAUGGCGUGGACAAAGGGAGGCCACCUGGUGACAGGGAGCGAAUCCCCAAACCACGUCUCAGUUCGGAUCGGAGUCUGCAACCCGACUCCGUGAAGCUGGAUUCGCUAGUAAUCGCGCAUCAGCCAUGGCGCGGUGAAUACGUUCCCGGGCCUUGUACACACCGCCCGUCAAGCCAUGGGAGCCGGGGGUACCUGAAGUCCGUAACCGAAAGGAUCGGCCUAGGGUAAAACUGGUGACUGGGGCU
rnacentral:rRNA from 1 species